GAAAUGCGAUAAGUAAUGUGAAUUGCAGAAUUCAGUGAAUCAUCGAAUCUUUGAACGCACAUUGCGCCCGCCAGUAUUCUGGCGGGCAUGCCUGUUCGAGCGUCAUUUCAACCAUCAAGCCCCCGGGCUUGUGUUGGGGACCUGCGGCUGCCGCAGGCCCCGAAAACCAGUGGCGGGCUCGCUGUCACACCGGGCGUAGUAGAUUUUUCGUCUCGCCCAGGGCGUGCUGCGGGUUCCGGCCGUUAAAAAGCCUCUCUUUUAACCCAAGGUUGACCUCGGAUCAGGUAGGGAUACCCGCUGAACUUAAGC
rnacentral:misc_RNA from 1 species